rnacentral:rRNA from 1 species
GACAGAGGGUGCAAACGUUGUUCGGAAUUACUGGGCGUAAAGCGUGUGUAGGCGGCUACGUAAGUCGGAUGUGAAAGCCCCGGGCUCAACCCGGGGAGUGCACUCGAUACUGCGUAGCUUGAGUACCGGAGAGGUUGGCGGAAUUCUCGGUGUAGAGGUGAAAUUCGUAGAUAUCGAGAGGAACACCGGUGGCGAAGGCGGCCAACUGGACGAGUACUGACGCUGAGACACGAAAGCGUGGGGAGCAAACAGG